AACGAACGCUGGCGGCAUGCCUAACACAUGCAAGUCGAACGAGACCUUCGGGUCUAGUGGCGCACGGGUGCGUAACGCGUGGGAACCUGCCCUUAGGUUCGGAAUAACUCCCCGAAAGGGGUGCUAAUACCGGUUAAUGUCUUCGGACCAAAGAUUUAUCGCCUUUGGAUGGGCCCGCGUUGGAUUAGCUAGUUGGUAGGGUAAAAGCCUACCAAGGCGACGAUCCAUAGCUGGUCUGAGAGGAUGAUCAGCCACACUGGGACUGAGACACGGCCCAGACUCCUACGGGAGGCAGCAGUGGGGAAUAUUGGACAAUGGGCGAAAGCCUGAUACAGCAAUGCCGCGUGAGUGAUGAAGGCCUUAGGGUUGUAAAGCUCUUUUACCCGGGAUGAUAAUGACAGUACCGGGAGAAUAAGCUCCGGCUAACUACGUG
rnacentral:rRNA from 1 species